AACGUACUCCCUCCGUCCGGAAAUACUUGUCAUUGAAAUGGAUGUAUCUAGAUGUAUUUUAGUUGUAGAUACAUCCAUUUUCAUCCAUUUUGAUGACAAGUAUUUCCGGACGGAGGGAGUAUUUG
rnacentral:pre_miRNA from 1 species